rnacentral:rRNA from 1 species
UACGAAGGGGGCUAGCGUUGCUCGGAAUCACUGGGCGUAAAGGGUGCGUAGGCGGGUCUUUAAGUCAGGGGUGAAAUCCUGGAGCUCAACUCCAGAACUGCCUUUGAUACUGAGGAUCUUGAGUUCGGGAGAGGUGAGUGGAACUGCGAGUGUAGAGGUGAAAUUCGUAGAUAUUCGGAAGAACACCAGUGGCGAAGGCGGCUCAUUGGACCGGUAUUGACGCUGAGGUGCGAAAGCGUGGGGAGCAAACAGGG